AGCGUACACGGUGGAUGCCCUGGCAGUCAGAGGCGAUGAAGGACGUGCUAAUCUGCGAUAAGCGUCGGUAAGGUGAUAUGAACCGUUAUAACCGGCGAUUUCCGAAUGGGGAAACCCAGUGUGAUUCGUCACACUAUCAUUAACUGAAUCCAUAGGUUAAUGAGGCGAACCGGGGGAACUGAAACAUCUAAGUACCCCGAGGAAAAGAAAUCAACCGAGAUUCCCCCAGUAGCGGCGAGCGAACGGGGAGCAGCCCAGAGCCUGAAUCAGUGUGUGUGUUAGUGGAAGCGUCUGGAAAGGCGCGCGAUACAGGGUGACAGCCCCGUACACAAAAAUGCACAUACUGUGAGCUCGAUGAGUAGGGCGGGACACGUGGUAUCCUGUCUGAAUAUGGGGGGACCAUCCUCCAAGGCUAAAUACUCCUGACUGACCGAUAGUGAACCAGUACCGUGAGGGAAAGGCGAAAAGAACCCCGGCGAGGGGAGUGAAAAAGAACCUGAAACCGUGUACGUACAAGCAGUGGGAGCACGCUUAGGCGUGUGACUGCGUACCUUUUGUAUAAUGGGUCAGCGACUUAUAUUCUGUAGCAAGGUUAACCGAAUAGGGGAGCCGAAGGGAAACCGAGUCUUAACUGGGCGUUAAGUUGCAGGGUAUAGACCCGAAACCCGGUGAUCUAGCCAUGGGCAGGUUGAAGGUUGGGUAACACUAACUGGAGGACCGAACCGACUAAUGUUGAAAAAUUAGCGGAUGACUUGUGGCUGGGGGUGAAAGGCCAAUCAAACCGGGAGAUAGCUGGUUCUCCCCGAAAGCUAUUUAGGUAGCGCCUCGUGAAUUCAUCUCCGGGGGUAGAGCACUGUUUCGGCAAGGGGGUCAUCCCGACUUACCAACCCGAUGCAAACUGCGAAUACCGGAGAAUGUUAUCACGGGAGACACACGGCGGGUGCUAACGUCCGUCGUGAAGAGGGAAACAACCCAGACCGCCAGCUAAGGUCCCAAAGUCAUGGUUAAGUGGGAAACGAUGUGGGAAGGCCCAGACAGCCAGGAUGUUGGCUUAGAAGCAGCCAUCAUUUAAAGAAAGCGUAAUAGCUCACUGGUCGAGUCGGCCUGCGCGGAAGAUGUAACGGGGCUAAACCAUGCACCGAAGCUGCGGCAGCGACACUAUGUGUUGUUGGGUAGGGGAGCGUUCUGUAAGCCUGUGAAGGUGUACUGUGAGGUAUGCUGGAGGUAUCAGAAGUGCGAAUGCUGACAUAAGUAACGAUAAAGCGGGUGAAAAGCCCGCUCGCCGGAAGACCAAGGGUUCCUGUCCAACGUUAAUCGGGGCAGGGUGAGUCGACCCCUAAGGCGAGGCCGAAAGGCGUAGUCGAUGGGAAACAGGUUAAUAUUCCUGUACUUGGUGUUACUGCGAAGGGGGGACGGAGAAGGCUAUGUUGGCCGGGCGACGGUUGUCCCGGUUUAAGCGUGUAGGCUGGUUUUCCAGGCAAAUCCGGAAAAUCAAGGCUGAGGCGUGAUGACGAGGCACUACGGUGCUGAAGCAACAAAUGCCCUGCUUCCAGGAAAAGCCUCUAAGCAUCAGGUAACAUCAAAUCGUACCCCAAACCGACACAGGUGGUCAGGUAGAGAAUACCAAGGCGCUUGAGAGAACUCGGGUGAAGGAACUAGGCAAAAUGGUGCCGUAACUUCGGGAGAAGGCACGCUGAUAUGUAGGUGAAGUCCCUCGCGGAUGGAGCUGAAAUCAGUCGAAGAUACCAGCUGGCUGCAACUGUUUAUUAAAAACACAGCACUGUGCAAACACGAAAGUGGACGUAUACGGUGUGACGCCUGCCCGGUGCCGGAAGGUUAAUUGAUGGGGUUAGCGCAAGCGAAGCUCUUGAUCGAAGCCCCGGUAAACGGCGGCCGUAACUAUAACGGUCCUAAGGUAGCGAAAUUCCUUGUCGGGUAAGUUCCGACCUGCACGAAUGGCGUAAUGAUGGCCAGGCUGUCUCCACCCGAGACUCAGUGAAAUUGAACUCGCUGUGAAGAUGCAGUGUACCCGCGGCAAGACGGAAAGACCCCGUGAACCUUUACUAUAGCUUGACACUGAACAUUGAGCCUUGAUGUGUAGGAUAGGUGGGAGGCUUUGAAGUGUGGACGCCAGUCUGCAUGGAGCCGACCUUGAAAUACCACCCUUUAAUGUUUGAUGUUCUAACGUUGACCCGUGAUCCGGGUUGCGGACAGUGUCUGGUGGGUAGUUUGACUGGGGCGGUCUCCUCCUAAAGAGUAACGGAGGAGCACGAAGGUUGGCUAAUCCUGGUCGGACAUCAGGAGGUUAGUGCAAUGGCAUAAGCCAGCUUGACUGCGAGCGUGACGGCGCGAGCAGGUGCGAAAGCAGGUCAUAGUGAUCCGGUGGUUCUGAAUGGAAGGGCCAUCGCUCAACGGAUAAAAGGUACUCCGGGGAUAACAGGCUGAUACCGCCCAAGAGUUCAUAUCGACGGCGGUGUUUGGCACCUCGAUGUCGGCUCAUCACAUCCUGGGGCUGAAGUAGGUCCCAAGGGUAUGGCUGUUCGCCAUUUAAAGUGGUACGCGAGCUGGGUUUAGAACGUCGUGAGACAGUUCGGUCCCUAUCUGCCGUGGGCGCUGGAGAACUGAGGGGGGCUGCUCCUAGUACGAGAGGACCGGAGUGGACGCAUCACUGGUGUUCGGGUUGUCAUGCCAAUGGCACUGCCCGGUAGCUAAAUGCGGAAGAGAUAAGUGCUGAAAGCAUCUAAGCACGAAACUUGCCCCGAGAUGAGUUCUCCCUGACUCCUUGA
rnacentral:rRNA from 1 species